rnacentral:lncRNA from 1 species
UCCAAGUACCGAGACAAGGUUGAAGGGUAGAGGCCAAGGAACUUCGUAAGACCGGUGUCAACGAGCUUCUCAUUAAGAUAGCCGAAAGUGAAGGACUUCGGGUCAUGCAAGAGUGCACGACCAAGGAACGAAGCAGGCAGUACGCGGUGCUGUACCUUUGCUACUCAGUGGAGUAGGUGGUAGGGUUGAUGGAGAAGACGGUACAAUCCCAAAGGCGACCAAAUCUAUUAGAGAAUUACUCAAAGUUGGGGUGAAAACUUCCUGGAUUCCAGAAGUUCGAUGGCAUUGAGAAGGUGAAUCACAGUAACUAACUCAACGCAAGGGUGUCGCACGACUUAGGCAAAACCAGCUAAGUCCGUGACAACAUGGACCACUCACUAUCGGGCGAUAGCGUUGAUUGGGGUUGUUUCCGCUUCGUUAUCACCCUAAGUCGACUGUCACCACCCGCUAUUAGCAGUGGGAGAAGAAAUAAGAGGGAGCCGAAAAGAUAAAACUUGAAGAUUCGGCGCCGCUCUCCCUCGAUGAUCCCGAUAUGAUGGCGCCUCCUCGUCAUCGGCAAUGAGGCCUCGGUGUCGGCGACUUCUCCUCAUCCGCAUAGGGAGAGAAGAAGCCUCGGCGGCGUCGCGGGGAGAAGUAGUUUCUUCUCCCCAUACAGGCAGAAGGAAUGUGGCUUUUUUUUUUACUUUUUUGCGCGGGGGGAAGGAACCCUCGGUUUCUUCUCCCCACGUGGGCAGAAACUGAGCGACGUUGCCUUUCUCUUUUUUUUUUGCACAGGGAGAAGGAAACAGUUUCUUCUCCCCACGUGGGUAGAAACUAAGCGACGUUGCCUUUCUCUUUUAUUUUUCGCGUGGGGAGAGGGAAACAGUUUCUUCUCCCCACGCGGGCAGAAAUUGAGUGACGUCGCCUUUCUUUUCCCUUUUUUUUUUUUGCGCGGGGAAACUGGGCGACGUUGCCUCAGAGAUGUCACCUUUCUCUUUUUUUUUUUUUCGUGCGGGGAGAAGGAAACGAUUUCUUCUCCCCACGCGGGUAGAAACCGAGCGACAUCGCCUUUUUUUUUUCUACGGGGAGAAGGAAACCUCCUUGUCAUGCGGGUAGAGCGCGGGGAGAAGGAAGCCUCCUCCUCACGCGGGCAGAGAGCAGUAUACCGUAAUGUACCGCUCGGUAUACUUAUAAAGUAUUGUACCGAGCUGAGUUCGAAACUCCGGUAUUGUACGAAAUUACGAACCUUGGUGCAGAGUGUCAGCCAGUACAAACACCCAAGAGUUACCCAGGUGGCAUAGGGCUGGAUGAGCCUUUGGGGUAGUGUCUAGGGUUGGUUCACUGACUUAUUCCGUAAUGGUGUUAUAUGGGCACUUAUGGGGACUUUUGGCCAUGGUGGACCAUAUCGGACCCUUUGUCGCGCGACCAUUUAGAGCUUGCGACGUUUAUGUUUGUAAUUUGCAUUGCCUAUCAAGUGGUUGCUGAGAUGACUAUUUGUUGGAUCUUAAGUAAAACGCUUCUUCUAACCCAUCUUCUCUUUUGUAGGUCUUUAAGGGACCAUAAGAGGUUUCUGGGAGGUUGACCUUUUGCGGACGGACAUGCAAGGGUGUUGCACGACUUAGGUAAAACCAAUUAAGUCCGUGAUAGAUGGUAUCAAAAUGGGACAAGCACACUUAGAAAUACUUGACAUACAAAUGUGGGGGAUCUAUCGGGGUUGCGUUGAGGCCAACCAGCAUGCGUGACCGUUUGAGAGAAAUGAGCAUAAAGACGUAGGGAAAGGAGUCUUUUAAAGGAACGAGCAUACGAGAUUGGCUUUCAGAGGAAUGGCUUAAUCCUUCAUGCAAGAGGCACCACGAGGAUAAGCGUGCUGGGAAGAACACGUAGCGCACAAAGGUUGAGAUGGCUGAGUUCGAGCCACAGCUCAACGUCGGCAACUAAACUUGAUGGUUCUUAAGGUAAGCAAAGCGCUUGGUAAAGGAUGAGACUAUGCAAGGAGGGAUGUGUUGUUCGGCGACUAAAAGAGUUGAACAAAGCUUACAGGGGUGAGGGGAAUUAUAGCUCGAAGAAUUCGGUAUUCAUGCAAGGGCUUGUAUGCGGACAAUAGACUGUCCAUGGUUAUUGCAAGGCGAUUGAAACUCGGUGUCAUGGAGCAUUAAAACUCUUUUCGGUAUAAGAAUGUUACAUUUGUAGGAGGCUAUAGUGAUUUAAAUAGGCACUCAAGCGAGGCAAGGUGAGGCGAGGCCCGAGCACCUCGUGUGUGGACCAGGCGACGCGCUUUAAUGAGGCGCUGCUUGGGCGCUUGCCUGAACCCAAGCGUCAAGUGCUUCGGGUGAGCGCCCAGUUCAAAUGAGUGAACCGAACUAGACUUUUAAAUUUAGUUUGGUACAAUAAUGCAGUUUCUUACGCCACCCUUUAUGCCCGCGCGACCCUAAGCCAACCCUAGCACUGCUUCUACCUUUGCCGCUGAUACUUUCUGCCACUGCCUCCAUCGCAGACGUAGUAGACCGAGUCUUCCUUUGUUGUCAUUCGACGAGUUCAACGACCUAGCAAGAGCUCAUAGCUUCCUUCCGUUGUCGCUCUGUGUGUAGUUCCUUCGACUAUCGAGGGAGAGGAUCGUAGGUUCCUCUAUCACCGAUGGACGCCCUCUAGAGCUUAUGUCAUUGCUGCUACUACUAUUCGUAGCUCCCAUCGUUGCUUCUGUCGCUACCGCUGUCCGCAGCUCCCGUCGCUGCUGUUGCUGCUGUCCGUAGCUCCCGUCGUUGCCACUGUUUGUAGCUUCCAUUGCUGCCGCUGUUGUUAUUCGCAACUCCCGCCAUUGCCGUUAUCGUCACUACUAUCCACAACUUUCGUCACUGCUGCUACUGUUGUCUGCAGCUUUCGUCGUUGUUGCUGCCAUUUUCUGUUGGUUUUAUCCCCUUUGUUACUAUUAAUAGUUCUUUUCUUUCCCUCUAACUACUAUUAAAAAUAACUAAUAUACUGUUAACAGUAUAUUUUUAAAUUAAUAUCAUAUUUUUAUUUAAAUAAUUAUAUUUUUUAAUUAUAUUAUAUAUUUUUAUAUUUUAAUAUUUUAGAGUGCCUUGCUUUGCUCGGGCGAUCGCCUAGCGCCUCGGGCGUUAUGGGACCUUUGGCGCUUAGCACUUUUUAAAUUACUGGAAGGCUGAAGUGUACAGUAAGUUUAGUAUGUUUAGUAGGCCUUAAGGGGCGUUGUGGGGGUUGUAUUGGAGAAGAGUUGCAAUCUAGCAAAUGCGUUCGCGGUAGCAGAACACUACACAAUUUGUUCAGCAAGGUGGAGUAGUCUAAGGGGAUGGUGGUCUCCGAAACUUUCAGAGGGAAGGAUGCGAAGAGAAAAGUUGUUAUAACGGGAUAGAUAUUCAGGAGGGUUAAGUUCGGUUCUCCAGAGGGAGAAUCUUGUGCAAUGGAUCGCACAUGUUAAGGAAGGGUACCUCAAUAUGAUAGCUCCAUAAUGCUCAAUGGAUCGAGCGAGUGGCAAUAAGUUGUUGCAAGAUCUCGUAUGAGGUGAUGCGUUGGUGGACACAUUGCAAGAUCAAGUGAGGGAGCAACUCUAAGCAAUACCAAACAAAGGCACACUUAGAGCCAAUAUGGAGAUCGGACUCAACGAAGGGCUGACUUGUGAAAUGGUGGGCAUAAGGACCACCAUCAACUUGAUGCAAACUGAAGAGCGGAGCAACUUGAGUGGAACUUGAUAAGGUGCCCAAGCCGCCUGAAGGGAGUCGAUAUAUAAUAUGAAACAUAGAGCGGAGGCACGAAGCUGUCCUUGGAUAGAGGUCAAGGACAUAAACUCUUGCAGAGGCAAGAGCAAGAUCAUAUCGUUCCAUGGGUCCCUCGUUCUGAUGGAUAGAACUUAUCUUGCAUGGUGCUAACGUCAAAGGGAGCUUCGAGGGACAUGCAUCUUAUCUCGGCAAAGCAAUUGACGGAGGGACUAAGAUAACUCAACUUGCGGAAGCAAAGUUGGGGUCAGAAGGCUUUGGCAUAGGGCAAGAGGACGUAGAUGCGGGUACUCUUGAAGAAAAUACCGUAGUGCUACCAUUUAAGUUGUCGUAAAGGAAGCUAUGCACAAUCGAGAUUGUGCUGGGAGUAAGGGCCUAAGGUCUAGAUAAUGGUGCACUAAUUUUAGCGAAGUUGGAGGACUUUGAGAGAUACUAGGCGAUAGAUGAUCCUAGGGUUGUGCUUCGUCCGUUUGUGACCCAUGAACGGGUGGAUGAAGGUUGAUUGCUGAAGGAGCGAAUACAUUCGGGGGUGGCGGAGGCCUUGUGAUUUGCUGGUAUUGACCACACAUGGAGAGAUCGCAGUCCGAGUUUAUCCCACAAAGAUCAGAAUAUAAUGGAGAUGUCACUAGGAGGUGACAUGGUGCAGCGGAUCGUGGUGGAAUAGUUCGAAGCAAUGCAACACACAUGGGAUAAGUCACGUGAGAGACUUGAUCAUACGAAGGUAUGAUUAGGAGCUACUAGGAGCUCCACUUUGGUGAACAACACAACAAGGACUAUGGAUUCAAAGAGUGAAUGCCAUAGUACCACAAAGGCAGAUCUUCCAUGCGUGCAUCGAAUCUUGCAUCGGAUAAAAACCUUGGUCAUCAGCAUAUGAGGACAGUGUACCACUAAGAGGGAUUCUAAGUGCAAGUACCAAUGAGUCCCAUUGGGGGACUUGAUCAUACUGAGGUAUGAUUGGAGCGGUUGGGGAGUUGGACUACUCCAAAGUUUAUAUUUGCUUAAGGGAGCCUAACAAGUUCGAGGACAAGGUUGAGUGAGCGAACAUUGUUACUAAGGACACAAAAGAGAACAGGAUUUGUGCGAGCCCUACAGUAUGGUGGCGGAGGCCAUGCACGAGAGUUGCAAUUUGUUUCUCUAUCGACUAAAGGAAACUACUUGGAGAACAUAGAGGGGUUGAAGCAGGUGGCCAAAAGUGGCGAGGAAUCGACGACAAGUCCAGAGGGACUUAGCUACCCAAAAUCAAGCGUAAAAAAGAAUGGAGGUGGACUUGGAGGAGUGCCAUAGUGUCGUAGAGGUAGAUCUACCGAUUGCGAAGAAAGGGAUGUAGAUGCGAGAUGACGGAUAGUAGGGUCAUGGGCAUGGUAGCGCCAUGGUAUUGCAAAGGUGAGAUUUCCGUGGUGUCAUCGAUCCCUUUUUCUCAUGAAGGGAGAGCGUUUGGUCAUGAAAGUGGCUAAGGAGGUGGAUAAUGCAAAGGCAAACUCCUAGUACUGAGACAAAGCUGAAGGGCGGAGGCUAGGGAACUUCAUAAGACUAGUAUCUAUGGGUUUUUCAUCAAAAUAGCCGAAAGUGGGGGACUUGGGUCGAUGCAGGAGUGCUCGACCAAGGAAUGAAGUAAGCAGUAUGUGAUGCAUUACCUUUUAUACUUUAAGGAGUAGGCGACAAAAAUGAUGGAGAAGACAGUACAAUCC